UGGAUUCCCACAGGUAUGUAGCACUAUUAGGAGCACUUUUAGACAGAAGGUGGGUAUAGAGUGCUCUCACUCUGCUUCUUUUUACACUAGUUAUAUUUUUUAAUGCUGUGAAAGCAGUGUCAGGGCAGGACUUUGGGGCAGAAGCCAAGAGCUCCACUCAGCAGAAGGAGCAGGAGUACCCCUGUCCCCGAUGGGCCUGGCUUACCUCAUUUUGAAGUGAAGCAGCGCAAAGAGCAAUUGCUCUUUGGCAAUGCGAUGUGUGAUUAUUGGUUGUGUUGUCUGCCUUAGAACUCUGUUUUAAAUUGUUUUCGGUAUGUUCUACAGAGUAUACUAGAUAUAGGAUAACAGACAUUACAAAAGCAGCAUAAGUCUCCAGUGGUCUCGGCUUCUUCGGAAAAAAACGAAGGCUGCAACCCAAUAUUCACAUACUAAUAGAGAGUAAGCCACAUUGGAUGCAGUGAGACUUCUAAAUAAGAUUGCACUGUAAAACCUGUACCACUCAGGACAGUGGGGAGAGUGAAACACUACCAUACAAGUGUAUCAGAUUUGGCUGGUAGAAUCCCAGUGAUCCUGCUGUAGUGUUGCUUUACCAUAUAAACUUUGCUUGUAUUUAUUAAGUGGGUUUUCAUCAUGACAGUUGUGUGUACAGGCUUUUUAUUAAGUGCUAACCUAAAACACCUGGCUUAAAAAAACCUUUUGCAAGGUAUUUGCCAGAUAUGUGUUUUGAAACUUAGGUCACUUAACAUGCCUACCCAUUUUCUAAAAAGAGAUUACCUUUCAAGUAAAUACAAAACAAGUAUACAUCUGACAGAUUCUAUGUUGUGUUCUUCAGAGGCCCAAGGACUUCAAAAAGGGUAUGUUACUUUCCAUUUUUUUGUACAGGAACCACUACCUCCUUCCCUAGCAAUCAAAUAAGAAGAAUAUGGUAGGGAGGAUUGGCAACACAACACAGGGAGAUGUGACUUGAUUUGAAAUAGAAUCACAUUUAUCUCCCUCUAAUUUGGAAACUUACAAAUGACCACAGUUACAGCAGUACUGUUUCCCUCCUGCCCUGAUGUUAUGUUGUUGGUAUGCACCAAGUAAGAACACAAAUAGUUGCCCACAACAGUUAAUUUUUUAUGAAUAAUAAAUAUUUAAAUUGAUUCCUAGCCCUGCCCUGUCAUCACACCUAAAGUAUAUGAACCUUGUCUAGUCAGGUUAGAUACCUGAGUCCAGCUGCCCAUGGGAUAACAUCACAGAAUUGAGAAGUUCUGAAGUACCGGGUCCACAAUUAGUAUCCUUAUAAAACUUCUUUCAAAUUUUAUGGAGGUAACAAAAUGCAAUUCACAAUUACAGAAGCUAAACAGGACAGGUGCAAUUCUACAUUUUAGACUUCAAAUAGGACAUGUAAUCAGAAUUGACAAGGAAGGAUAGAUAUGUUUAUCAUGCCAUUUGAAACAGGAAAAACCCCAGUAUUAAAAAUAAUAAGGUGUAAUAGAGUUGUCCCCAGAAAAACUGUGCGUUUACUGAAUGCUUUAUAAAUAUAUACAUUUUUAAAGAUGGGCUCUCCCCCAGUUUUAUUUCUUAUCAAGAGGAGCAGACUUGAUUGAAAAGGUUAUUCAUAUAAUGUGGAAGUGGCUUACCAAAAGAAAAAGAAUGGGGGGCGGGGCGGGAAUACAACCCUCAGCAAAAUGCAUACAAUGAGUUAUCCAAGCUCACCAGUCCCUGGAUGAUAAGGGUGAUGUGAAUGUUGCAAGCAAGAAUACAAACUAUUGAGAAUGUGCAACGAAGCAGGCUGCUCUUGGACCUGAUUGAUAGCUUACAUCCACUUGCUGGAUUCACAGCAUCUGCAGGUAAGAUUUCAUGCUCCAUUAACUAAUUCUGAGCAUGCUGUGUCCCAUUUUGCCAGGAACAAUUAGGGAUGGGCAAGCCCAGCUCAGACAAAAUAAGACAAGAAGGACGCCAAACAACCAUUCUGUUUUCCAAACUAGCUUGAUAUUCUGGAGAUUUGAAAAGCUAUUUGGAGAUCCCAAAGAUCAGCAGAAAAAGACUAAGCCAUUUAAAUGCUGCAUAACAUUUUGCACAAGGACGCAUUGAUUUGCUGCUGAGCAUAUACACUCACGAGGAGACCAUAACCAAUGCUGAUUUCUAAUGUAUGUCCCUUAUAUGAUACAUGCACUUUCAUGUAACUCAAUGCAAUUUCAUCAAAUUCAGAGUUUACCUUUUUAAGUUGGCACUUAAGAUAUCUUGGGUAUAUGCUUACAACCAUUCAGCUAAAAUAAUGAGUGCAAAUACAAAGCCUUUUUCCUGGGCGAUAAAUGCCAACCUGCCAUGCCAUUGUAUGUCUCACCUUGUAGUUCUGAAAUGAUGCAAUGUAUUGGUAAUGCAUGGCCCUAUAUGUUUAGGAAAGAGAUGGGGGAAAUUUCAUGCAGGUGGUGAGUUACUUGUUUUGUUUUAUGGUCUUCUGAUGUCAUAUAUGCAUAUGUUGCUGAUGGAACUGCAGUGCUUCCCCACUACCACCCUCAGGGCACAUCUCAGAAAAGCAUGAUAUUCUCUUAGAGGAAAGCUGCUGGCACUAGGAUAGUGGGCAGGGACAGACCUCUCUCUUCCUCCUGUAUGCCUUUGCAGCUCCCACCAGCUAACAGGAAACAGGGGUGUAAGUUUUUGUUUGUUUUAUGUGAAGGGUGGUAUUUUGUUUUAUGUAUUGAUGUGUUAAAUUUUGAUGGUCGUUGCUUUUAACCAUUUUGUAGGUUUUUAAACUUGAUGCAUAAUUUAUUUAUUUAUUAAAUUAUUUUCUUGUUACAAAAUUGUACACACAUAAGUUUUUAAAAAUGACAUGACUAACAAAAUUGGCGGGGGGGGUAUUAUUAUUACAUAUUAUUUAACAGGACAUAAUAAUGAAAUGAUUACAGUAAAUCACUAAAAUGAGUUCCUCAAUAAAUAAAAAGUCUACACCUUUUCCUUAAUAAAGCACUAGAGCUCCGGUGUUUUUGACAUCCUUCUUUGGUAUCUCUGCAUACAACCACUUCAAUAAGCCCUCCUUUCGACCUGCAGUCCAGAACAAAGAACUAUAAUUUAAUUCCAAGCGGACUGUGUUGUUAUUUUCAGCCAUCCUACCAGGACAUUCUGGAUGUAAAAAACUUGAGGUCAUUAAGAAUAGCAAUAAUACUGCAUUGUGGGGAUUUUUACAUUGAAAUACUGAUAUCAGGGUGAAAGCUGUGACUUACUAUCAUCAUUACACUGAAAUACACACAUGCUUUGAUACUGCAGUAGCAUCCAAUCAUACAUAUUGGUCAGUUACUUGUAGGUCUUUGGAUAACAAGUGUCUAAUAAGUCAUUAUCAUCAUUGGAGUAGGUGGUAAAUGUCUUGUUCAAAGUUAUGACCCAAGGGAUUGGGAACACAUGUUCCAUGUAAACAUUUCAAAUCAUUUGCAGAACUCAAAAAGCAUUGUGUGGAUUUAAUGCAGAACAUUGUAGCAGAUGAACUGGGAGAGGGGUGGCAUUUCUCUUUGUAAAAAUGUACAACCUACUUUUUGAACUUGGAGGUAAUACUGUAUCUCAAAGGGGAAACACAAAAAAUAGCAAUAAAAGUGUUGAAUGGCAGCCAACAUCUGACUCCCUUUUUAUGAUACUCAAAAACCAAUAAUACAAUCAAGCUCCUAAUCAAGGAAGCAAUCAGAAGCUCUAGAACAGUUACAUAAAACAAAUAAUCAAGAGAGCUGUUUAUAAUCACACUUUAAAACACAGUGAAUGGAAACUCGUUGAACAGGAACUGGGAGAAACUGUGAAGGCUUUCAGUAGCUACUGAAUUAAGAUCGGACAAGCUAAUGAAAGUCCUCAGAAUACGAGUACCUCUGUGUCCCUGAAGCUUUUGGAACAAACUACAGCAAAAUCGUAGAAGACAAAGUUAGAAGCUUUAGUAAAAUUUGAUAAACUUUCUCUUAGGUACACUAAUAAUAGCUUCUUCUUUUUCUGAUGUUCAGAAGUGAACACUUUUGCUUAUGAGGCAAAAAUGGCAGGAUCCUCGCACUAGAGCAGGGGUCCUCAAACUUUUUAAACGGGACCAGUUCACUGUCCCUCAGACAUUGUUGGGGGCCAGACUAUAGUUUGUAAAAAAUAUGAACGAAUUCCUAUGCACACUGCACAUAUUUUAUUUGUGGUGCACAAAAAACAGGAAAAAGCAAUACAAUAUUUAAAAUGAAGAAUGAUUUAAAUCAACAUAAACUUAUAAGUAUUUCAAUGAGAAGUAUGGCCCUGCUUUUAGCUAUUGAGAUGGACAAUAUCUGGUUACAUAUUUGUCAAAGAGACCUCCCCUGGUCUUACUCAGCUUCAUGAAGAAGGGGGAAAUACCUCACAAUCUGAGGAGACAAUUGUCUAUGUUGAGUAUAACCUUGUUUGAUUUCUUGUGAUGUUCAGUUUUCUUGUUUGCUACUUCACAAAAUACUAAUAAACCUCCUCACGGGGGGUGGGGUGGGGGAGAGAGAAAUGAGAAUGGCGCCUUGGCUGAGGUAAAAGUAAAAGCCGUCCCUCCCAGCGCAGGCUAGGCUAGGCCCGCCCUGGUCUCCCUCACCCGGGAGUGCGGCCACCACAAGCCCAGCCAAGCUCUCCUUUGAGGCAAAAGAAGGGGAAGAUGAGUGUGCGUGUGUUUUUUAACCUCCCUUCCCUUCCCUCUCUGAAUGGCAGCAAAAGGCUCCUCAUGAUGGCACCUGUGAUGUCACUUACCAGCUUCUUCCUUCCUUUCCUUUCCGCUUCACUCGCUCGCGCCUCUCCCUCCUCUCCUCUCCUCCACGCUGCACGAGUAGCAAUUGCCUCACAUGGGCGGUCAUGUUCCUGACAUCAGUUCCGGUCCCAGCAAGCAGUGUGUGUGUGGGGGGGGAGAUGGAAACACGUAGACCCGUUAGACAGCAGGCAGGCCGGGUUCAGGAACCUGGUGGGCCAGAUGUGGCCCACACACUGUAGUUUGAGGACCCAUGCACUAGAGGAUCAGCAGCAUUGGGCCAACCCCAAGUUUUGCAAAAGUAUAAAACCCUAAGGUAGGAGGGGGCAGCCCUAUGAGGCCAGCCAUCCUCAGUAGCCAUGGAAUGCUGACUGAUUGUUGGCAGUGGGGGGGGGGGGGAGGAUAGAUUGGAUUGAAUAUUAUGGAAUAGGGUUAGGGUCUGACUUGAAUAGUGCAACACUUUGCUGAACGUGUCUUUUUUGUUUAUAGUUUGUUUAUUAAAUUUAUAGACUGCCCUUCUUCCGAAGAUCACAGGGAAAUGAAUAAAUUUGCAGCUUUUGCCUUCAACAAACAGUACAAUAAGAAUUGAAAAAUGAUAUGGUGUUUUGCUAUUGUCAGCCUUCAACAUCUUUGUAAAAAAAUAAGCAUGUGUCGCUGUGGAGUAAAGGCUUUUCAGUAGCUUAAUGUCUGAAUGAAUUAAGCUUGAAAGACUGAAAACACAUCAUUUAUACUUGCUGUAAGCAAAAGAAUAGCUUUGAUAAUGUCAGAUCUUGUUAAUUUUUUUUAAAUGUCCCUAAUAGUGCACAGACCUUUCAUUGGGUAGUUUGUUCCAGUAAAGUGAAGAGCAAAUUCUGACUGAUGCAGCCAGAAUUUGAGCGUUGAGCAAACCUUGGGCAUGAAACAACUAACGUGUGGCAUUUUAAAGUCCGUUUUAUUUUGGUGGGAAAGAGUUAAAUGUGUGCCAUGUGCCUGAAUCAAGACCCAGAUUAUGUUCAGCUGGUUGCUGGAUUGCCAUGGGAUGCUGAUGGGGAAAGAAACAGGAAGCUGGGGAGGGGGAUGGAGUGAAGUGGUUGGAAUCCUGAACAGAAACACUAUAUACCGCAGCAUUCCCACUUAUAUUUGCUAAUAGUGAUCUUUAUGGCACCAUCAUCAUGUCAGCAAUGAAAAACCCACAAAUGUGCAGAAGUAUGAAAAAAUAUUUAGUAUAUAAUUCCCCCCCCCAAAACAACAACUAACCCCCUAAAGGGAUGGGAGUUGGGGAAACCCAUUUACAGCUGAAUGAAGACUGUAUUAUGGGGCCAAAGAAUGAUGACUGAAUGGGGAGCAGGGGGAGCCUGGCAAUAGAAAACCAGGUUAGGAUGGACUUCUUGAACAGAAUCACUCUUCAUGGUGCAUCAUUUCUUGCAACCCCCACUUGGGUUAACCAGAUUCACUGAGACGUAUUUAUGUAUAUUGCAGUGGAGAAAGCAUGCAGCAAGUUGAACCAGGAGAGCUUUGCCAUGUCCCUUCCAAUGAACAAGAGCUCAAGGCUUGUUUGAAAUGAGGUCAUAUUCCUGAUCAUCUUGGCAAAGCAUCUUUGAGAGACCUGUUCUCAAUGAACCUUUCACACUGCUUUUAAAUCCAACCGUAACACUACUCCUCACAAUAUCCGCUGGCAAUGAAUGCU
rnacentral:lncRNA from 1 species